GGGCCUUUAGCUCAGUUGGUUAGAGCGCCCGGCUCAUAACCGGUAGGUCCGGGG
rnacentral:tRNA from 1 species